rnacentral:rRNA from 1 species
UACGUAGGGGGCAAGCGUUGUCCGGAUUUAUUGGGCGUAAAGAGCGUGUAGGCGGCCGCACAGGUCCGUUGUGAAAACUGGAGGCUCAACCUUCAGACGUCGAUGGAAACCGUGCGGCUAGAGUCCGGAAGAGGAGAGUGGAAUUCCUGGUGUAGCGGUGAAAUGCGCAGAUAUCAGGAAGAACACCCGUGGCGAAGGCGGCACGCUGGACCCCCACUGACGCUGAGGCGCGAAAGCCAGGGGAGCGAACGGG